AAUGCUGAUUAUAAAUUUGAAACCUACUGCUGUUUAGACUUAGUGCGAGCUGAUCUCCUUUUCUUGGGGAUUUUGGGGAGGGGUUAUGAUCAGCUGAUCUGUUAUUAUCAACUUCUGCAAGAGUACGUACUUAAGCUUGUCCACUGUUAUCAAAAUUUUAGCUUUAUAAUUAAAACUAUCAAUUACAGGCCGUCUUUGACUGUGUGUACUGCGUGCUAUAUGCCUGUAUCCCUUUAGUUGUUUAUUAGAACCGUAUUUUGAUCUGCAAUGCCUAUACUGUGGCUUUUACCCUUCUUCAGCUGAUAGCCUUAGUAAGGAACCUAUCGGGAGUUGGCACUACAUCCUUGUCUGGCUCGAAAAUUUAAAGUAUUUAAACCCUUGACUUGCAUUUUUCAAUCAAAGAGAUUUCCAGUUUUAUAUGAGUAUGGUUAAGCGUCAAUAAAAGAUUCCAGGACCGAACAAUUUUAACUCCCGGUUUCUCUGUGUGUCCAGUGCUCACCACUAAGUCUGUACAAAAGUCGCAAUAACAUGAUGAAAGAUAUUCCUUAGAAAAAAAAUAUUUUGAAAUCAAGGGGUGCACCAACCAUCCAACCAAUAAUACAACUUUAAACAACAUAAAAGCAUAAAAAUAUUCCUUAGACAAAGACAUUUGAUGUAAUGCACUAAGUCUCUUCAAAAGUCACAAUAUCAUGAUGAAAAGAUUAGUGUCAUCAACAAUCACUGGCACAAUAAAUAAGGGACAUUUGGACCUUCCCCCAACCCUGGGCUAAACAGAGGGAGCCAUGUGCAUUGGGUACAAUCUUUUUUUGUUUGUGUAAGGCGAUUUGAUACCUAAACCUCUCCCAAAGAGCAGGAACUUAGAGCAAGCCGAACUACCAUUGCAGAACUUGACUGUUUAUUUUACAUCUUGAAAAAAGAGUACCUGUUAUUUUAAUUAUUUAUGUUGUUGUGUAUCAAAACCGAAGCAAUUAUGUUCCCUGGGGCCCGGACAGUGUAGAUCCGCCCCGGUGUGUAUGAACACGUAUGUGAUUAUCUAACAGCUUUCUUGCUGAAUUUGCAUGAUUUAACCUCCGGUGCUACUAAAACUUAAAAGCAUGUGAUAAUCCAAACAACCAUCUAAUAAAGGGGCAUGUAUGAGAAUAUCACUGCUUUCAAAAACAAAUGGAGACUUCUUUAUAAAACAUCUUCAAAUGAAAAUGUGGAACUUUAUUUUGGGCCAGGGGAGGUAGUACUCUGCAGUUGUUUAGAAGUGCUUGAUGACCAACAAUGCCUUCCUGUUUGCUUUUAACAAGCUGCUGGCAUUGGAGGUCGGUAGAAAAGUUGCAAUCCUUGGGGUUGGUGAUACCAUACAAUUUCCUUUCCUUGGAACAAAGGCAACGGUUCUUAAGGUGGAACCUUCGAAAAAAGAGAUAAUAGUGCAAGCAGGUAACCUGAAGUUGAAAAUAUCUGUGAUUAAGUCCUGACUAGUAAAAAUGUUGCGGCAUUGUAAUGAAUGUCAAAUAAUCUUCCUGGCAGUAUCAAUUUUUGUAAUUUUCAUGACAAUGUCAGUAAAGAAGUAGCAAGAAAGAAACUAAUGGAUUAUAUGGGUAGAGCUUUUCUCAAAAGGCUAUUGUAUAGUUGAAGUGAAGUACGUGUUAGGUUCUCAGUAACACUAAACUUCCCUUGUUUUUGUUGAUAAAUUGUUGGUACGUAGUGUGUAUACUACCUCCAUCCCACAUUACUUUUUACACUUUUAACUUGUCAAAUAUUAUUUUAGGAGAUAAGUUGUUAUUUGGUUAUCAAAUAUUAUUUUAUUGAAAAUUAGAUGUGAUAGAAGAUAGUGAGUAUCUUUUAAUUGAAUGUGAGAGAUUGUGGGACCCAAAUAUUUUGUAAUGGGAAGAGAGAUAUUAUUAAAGUAAAAAUAACUGUAAAAGCUAACCUGGGAUUAGAGUGAGUAAUAGCUUGACGACUCAUUUGUUUGAAGGGAUAGUGUGUAAGGAUAAGGAAUUAUUAUCCAAAUUUACUCUUAUCCGUUGUUUGUUUGUAAGGAUAGGGGGAAAAAAUGAGUGAUAAGGAUAGGGGGUUAUAUAAGGACGAGAAUAAGAAAUGAGGAUUAAAAGAAAAAUACGCCCCUUGAUGAAAAGGAAUGAAGGAGGAGAGAAUAAUAAUCAGAAGUUAGUAAGAGUAUCCCUAACCUGUAAAGUACACCAACUUCAAUAUACUAUACUUAUCAAUAGUGGUUUGAGUGGUAAAAGCAUGACAUUCGCUAUUCAUAAGGCUAAAAACUUUUGAAGGUCCAGCUCUAUGUUCUUAAUUGAGUUGGUCUUGGUUCCGAAUCCCACUACCCACAUCUAUUCCGUUCUCUUUUUUCCUUCCUUUUCUUUCUUAUUAUGCUGAUUACUUUUCUUCUAUUUCUUUCAUCUCUUCCUUCCUGCUUUCUUCAUCAAACUCAUUUUCUCUCCUCUAUGUUUGCCGACAAUUUUCAACUUCAAAAUGCAUUUUUGUGCUGAAUCUUCAUCUGUUUCUUUAAUUGAAGUUGGCCAUCGUCUUCUUCUUUUCAUUUGGUCUCGAUUUGAUUUCUUUAACUAAAAGCCAUUACUUUUGCCGCACUCAUCAGCCUCUCUCCUCUUUGAUCCCCUUCUCUCUCAAUCUCCGUGUUAAAUCCUAUCCAAGCUAUCGCCAUUUGUUCAACUUCAGAGGACUUUCAGGAAUUUGUCUUCUUAUCUUCUCUCAAUUUCUGAAUUUUUAGAAAUUUCUAGGUAUAUGUAUUUAAAUUUUGAUUUUUUAGGGGUUUUUGGUGCUUUAGAAUCUAAACUUUUACAAUUGUUUGAUGUUUGGCGAUGCAUCGGAGUGGAAUGGAAGAGGAGAAAAGAAAAGGAACAUCGAUUGGGAAGGCAUGGCUAAGCUCCUUAUCUCGUAUGUAGCUCGCAAGGGAGUUUAUCACUCUUCGUUGCACUUUCGAUGAAGUUCACACUCAACUUCAGACUUCCCCCUUUCAACCUAUUUCAAACUCUCUCUUCACCAAUUAUCUGAAUUGUUCCAAUUUUGAGUGGCGUUUAGUUCCAAUCUGCAAGGAUCUGUGAGUAUAAUAUCUUUGCAUCCCAACUUCCCAAGAUACUGAUGCAGUGAUGUGAAAAUGGUUGAUGCUGAGGACACAACGAAGUCUGCCUUGAAAACCGAAGAACUUUUUUCAAGAGUGCAGGAAAGAUCGUACAAGUAAGAUCUGCUUCAGAUGCUGAUGCUGAUUUUAGGGCUUUGACCAUAUUGAGUUUGAAACAGCCGAAGCUGCCCAGAAGGGAAAAACUUGAGGAAUUGCAGGACUCCGUGUUUAUCUAUGAAGGACGAACUACUAAUAUGGACAUAUGCUGGCUGACUUGAUGGCGAAAACCGCUAGGAAGAAUUUUUAUUUUGCACUCCCAAAAUAGUAUUUUUCAGACCCUCUACUAGAAUGUAUAAAACUUUAGUUGACGACGCUAAUCUCGCUUCUUCUAGUCCUAAUGGGGGUUGCAGGCGUAGCGCCACGCCAGAAUAGUGUAUCUUUUUUGAACUCCAUGGAUGGCAACAACUCUCUGCUUAGCUAUCCAAAUUAAUUAUGUAUGUACUUUGUAAAAGGAACACUAUUAUUUCUAAUGCCAGCUAAAGAUAUUGGCAGGUA